AAGAGGAGCAGAUUUGCAUGAAGGACGUCUCAGGCUCCUCUGGGGCCAGGGCGGGGAUAAGAGCCCUGCAGAGCAUCGGCCUCGGCUGAGCCCUGGGGAGUCUGCACCAUGGCCUGCACCCCGCUCCUCCUCCUCCUCACCCUCCUCCAGUGCACAGGGUCCCUGUCCCAGCCUGUGCUGACUCAGUCGCCCUCUGCAUCUGCCACCCUGGGAGCCUCGGCCAAGCUCACCUGCACCCUGAGCAGUGCCCACAAGACCUACACCAUUGCAUGGUAUCAGCAGCAGCAAGGGGAGGCCCCUUGGUACCUAAUGAAGCUUAAGAGUGAUGGAAGCUACACCAAGGGGACCGGGGUCCCUGAUCGCUUCUCGGGCUCCAGCUCUGGGGCUGACCGCUACUUGAUCAUCUCCAGCGUCCAGGCUGAUGACGAAGCCGACUACUAUUGUGGUGCAGGUUAUAGCAGUGGGUAUGCACAGUGA